AGCGGCGAACGGGUGAGUAACACGUAGGUGAUCUGCCCAUCAGACGGGGACAACGAUUGGAAACGAUCGCUAAUACCGGAUAGGACGAAAGUUUAAAGGUGCUUCUGGCACCGCUGAUGGAUGAGCCUGCGGCGCAUUAGCUAGUUGGUAGGGUAAAGGCCUACCAAGGCGACGAUGCGUAGCCGACCUGAGAGGGUGAACGGCCACACUGGGACUGAGACACGGCCCAGACUCCUACGGGAGGCAGCAGUAGGGAAUCUUCGGCAAUGGGCGAAAGCCUGACCGAGCAACGCCGCGUGAAUGAUGAAGGCCUUCGGGUUGUAAAAUUCUGUUAUAAGGGAAGAACGACUUUAGUAGGAAAUGGCUAGAGUGUGACGGUACCUUAUGAGAAAGCCACGGCUAACUUCGUGCCAGCAGCCGCGGUAAUACGUAGGUGGCGAGCGUUAUCCGGAAUUAUUGGGCGUAAAGAGCGCGCAGGUGGUUGAUUAAGUCUGAUGUGAAAGCCCACGGCUUAACCGUGGAGGGUCAUUGGAAACUGGUCGACUUGAGUGCAGAAGAGGGAAGUGGAAUUCCAUGUGUAGCGGUGAAAUGCGUAGAGAUAUGGAGGAACACCAGUGGCGAAGGCGGCUUCCUGGUCUGUAACUGACACUGAGGCGCGAAAGCGUGGGGAGCAAACAGGAUUAGAUACCCUGGUAGUCCACGCCGUAAACGAUGAGUGCUAAGUGU
rnacentral:rRNA from 1 species